GUAAUUAUCCUCAUCAUGUACUUCCCAGAACAGAAUAGCAUUAUGUGAAGCAAAUACUUCAGAUCCUAACCUGUACCUGACCUUACCAAAACUAAGGCACAGGUCAGAAUUGGAGCCAAUGCUGAGCUGCACCAUGCCACUGGCACAGUGUCUUAUGGAACUGGAUGGAGCCCCAUUACUAUGUCACCCUGAAAGAGGUGCAGCGACUACCACCUCUCUAUCUGUUUUGGUGAAUCUAACAUCAGCAGUGCUGCAAGGCAGCCACAAGAGGAAGACAGAGACCCACACGGUCCUAGAGUGAAUGUGGAAUGUACAUGUGGAAUGUACAAUCACAAAAAGGGGGACUAUUCCACCGCAACUUGAUCGCAAUUCAACAUUAAUCAGGGCAAUAUACAGAAACUGGAAGAGCUAUUCACCUCUGCAACAGAUUUGAAAGUUACAGCUAAGUUCAGGUAAGCAUGUUCACUUUCGAGGACUUGUCUGAUCAAAACCUCCGAACUUUUGAUCCUGUGUACCACAGGUUUUCCAGUCCCAUGGUGCACUCUUAGUGCACAAAAUUGCAAGGAAGCACAAUAAAAUUAAAAAUUUUAAAAGACAAUUUAGUAGUAUAUAGUGAAGGGACCAUUGUUCAUAUACAUCUACAGUAUUUUACUGUAAUAUCCCAAGCACUACAGCUCAUAAAGUGAUACCACAGUAUUUUGGACUAUUACAUCCUUUUAUUUUGACCUGAUGUGUCCUGCUGACAACUAUCUGCUAUAAUGAAGAAAGGAGCAAGCCAUCUGGCCACCUUCUGACUGAAGAGGACCUUUGGU